UACGGAGGGUGCAAGCGUUAUCCGGAUUCACUGGGUUUAAAGGGUGCGUAGGCGGAUAUGUAAGUCCGUGGUGAAAUCUCAAAGCUUAACUUUGAAACUGCCAUGGAUACUAUAUAUCUUGAAUGUUGUGGAGGUUUGCGGAAUAUGUCAUGUAGCGGUGAAAUGCUUAGAUAUGACAUAGAACACCGAUUGCGAAGGCAGCAGGCUACACAAAUAUUGACGCUGAGGCACGAAAGCGUGGGGAGCAAAC
rnacentral:rRNA from 1 species